rnacentral:ribozyme from 14 species
AAAAAAAAAAAAAAAAAAGAAAUAAGAAAAGUAA